UACCAGCACCCCGAGUGGUCGGGACGUUUUAUUGGGCCUAAAGCAUCCGUAGCCGGUUCUACAAGUCUUCCGUUAAAUCCAGCUGCUUAACAGAUGGGCUGCGGAAGAUACUAUGGAGCUAGGAGGCGGGAGAGGCAAGCGGUACUCGAUGGGUAGGGGUAAAAUCCGUUGAUCCAUUGAAGACCACCAGUGGCGAAGGCGGCUUGCCAGAACGCGCUCGACGGUGAGGGAUGAAAGCUGGGAGAGCAAACCGG
rnacentral:rRNA from 1 species